rnacentral:tRNA from 1 species
GCCCCCGUAGCUCAGAGGAGAGAGUGCAACCCUCCGAAGGUUGAGGCGCCGGUUCGAGUCCGGUCGGGGGUAC